rnacentral:lncRNA from 1 species
UCCUCCUCGGUCUCCCCACCUUUCAGAUUCUGAGCAGGCUUGAGCUGGGGGGCUGGGCCCCACCCACUGACCCUGCUGUGGCCCCAGAAGGCUUGGAUUUGCCCACCUGCCCCAGAGAGUCUCCCCAAAGCUGGGGUGUUCUGUGGGGGGAGGGGCAGAGCCUGCGCAGGGCCACACUCGCCCCCACCCGUGGGGAGGACGACAUGUUAGUCACACGACCCCAACGGGCCUCUCGGGAGCAGUGAGGAGGCCCAGAGCACGUCCAGCGGCCGGACCUGUCCUGGGGCCGAGCUGACCGGGACGCUUACGUGGGGUGUUGGGCUUCCCCACCACCCUGGGCUGGGACAGGCCCACACAGGAAGCGCCGCUGCUGGGGGAGGCUUCCUGGGGGGGGGAGGCCUGGGGGGGUUAGGCUUUGGGGAUGGACGUGAGAACAGACAGGGCUGCCAGGAGCUGGGUUUGAAUCCCACCUUCGUUGCUCAGCCGGGAGGCUCCUGGACUGGGUUCCUCUGAGGGAUGGUCUCGUGCCCGCCUGGCCCCAGGGGGCAGAAGGCCUUGGGCCUCCUUCCUCCCCCAGGAGGCCCCAUUCUGCCCAGGAGCCCUCACCGGGGGCUGUUCUCGGGCACGGAGGACCCAGAGCUCGGGCCGCCCGCCUUGAGAGGCGAGAGAUGGGCCGGGGAGGGGUUGGGGAGCCCCCGGGCCGCGGGGUCACCCUGGGCCUGCUCCUGCAGGUGGACAAGCUGGACGCCUCGGAGAGCCUGCGGAGGGACGAGGAGCAGGGGGCGGAGCCGGCGCCCAUCGUGUUCGAUUUUGAUGGGCAUGAGUGAUACCCAGUGAGGCGGCUAAGCCAGCAGCUGAUGCUGACGGCGGGCCCCACUGCGGCGCCUUCUCAGGGCGCCUUCUCCUACGGCUACGGGGCUCCGGCCUUCCCCCAGGCCCCCGUUUACAGCUUCAACAUGUAGCGGGGGCUCCGCGGGGCCCCCUCCCCGCCCGUCCACCUGGCCGUCGCGUGGCAGCGCUUCCCGAGGAGCCGCUCUGUUAUUUAUUGUCUCUAACGCUCUGUCGCCUCCCGGCCGGCCGCCCGCAGGGCCCUUCCUGCCCCAGCCGCGGGGAGCCGGCGGCCCCUUCCCACUUCCAGCUCUGCGGCCGGGGAGCCCCCAUCCCAUCCGGGGCGCAGAGACUGCCUUAUCUGCCCCUUCCCUGUCUGCGCUGGCGUCCCAGAAGAGCGCGUGGCCGGAGGCUGAAGGAAAGAAGAGGGAGGCAGGGAGUCUUGGAGGUGGCCGUCUCCGGUGCGUAGGUCAUUGGUCAGAGUCGGCUGCUUGGGGUGGCGUGUUGUGGGGUAGGGCCCCGGCCCCCCCUCGGGUCGGGCCGCCCCCGCCUUGCCUGCGGUCUGGUUCCUGUGGGCCC